CCGACCAUAGCUCAGUUGGAAGAGCACGAGACUGUAAUAGGUUGCUGGGGAGUAUGAUCUUGGGGUCGCCUGUUCGAACCAGGCUGGUCGGA